GGACUCAAGAGAUGAGUGUGCCUGUAGAAGGGGUUGCUGGUGGAGGCACAGCUUACGGGUUUAACGACGGCGGUCUUAAUACACAACCUCUUAAACAAUCUACGGACCCCACAGAGGUUCCUACUUCUGACUUGGUUCACGUCUGGUGUAUCCCCAAUACUCUUAACGUCGGUUCCCAAGAAACGCCUCGACCUCUAGAAACUGUAUAACCCUUCUUCUUUUCAGCUAUUUCUAGUUCACCUUUCGUGUGAAAUGACAUUUGUGAUUUGUGUUUCUACAGAUAAAUCUUUUGGCAGCUAGAAACGAGAGAGAAAGUUUUCAAAUUGCCAUGCGUCCCAAAGUUUCUUGGGCUGGUUCUACCCCUUCUGGGAGUGUUCAGGUUCAGUGCAGUGACUUAUGCUCUUCAGCUGGGGACAGGUGCGUGAGCCUUUGCUACCUUCCCUUUUCUCCGAACAGCGGCUUAAGAAACCGAACGUUUCAAUGGAUAUUUUGAGAUGGAUUCUUCACUUUGCUGUCUAUAUGAUUGUUUUCUUCCUUUCAAUGACAGAUUGGUUGUUGGCCAGUCCCUAAAGUUGCGGCGAGUGGUGCCUGUCUUAGGUGUUCCUGACGCUCUGGUGCCUCUUGAUUUGCCUCUUACUCAACUUAGCUUACUUCCAGGGUACUACCCACUCGCUAAUCUUAUUUCUUACUUAAUUCGUUAAAGACUGAUAUAAUCUCGGAUGUUCCAUAUUGUAGAGAAACAAGUGUGAUUUGGGUCUCAAUAGACGUUCCUAAUGGGCAGCCUCCUGGUCAAUAUGAAGGAGAGAUUACUGUUUCUGCAAUGAAGACGGAUGGAGGGUGAGUCUCCCUUUGUUUUUCUUUUCUUUUAUCUACUUUAGGAGGAAAAUGAUAACUUGUUUCUCAUGGAUUUGACGCGCUUAUGCCCAAAUUUUGUGGUUGGUUACAGCUGUUCUGAUAACUUGGGAAAGCAUGAGAAGGAUCAGCUAUGUGUGGAACUCAAGAACUGUCUGGAUAUUAUGGAACCGAUAGAAGGAAAACCCAUGGACGAAGUGGUAAUUUUCAGUUUGCUUCUGUUUUUGUUGAGCUCAUCCCCUUGGAUAAAUAUUUUACUUGUCAGUAAUCUGCAGCUUGUCUUUUAGGUAGAAAGAUUAAAAUGUGCAAGUUCGUCAUUAAGAAGAAUUCUAUUCUCUCCAUCAUUCGCGGAGUUCAUUUCUACAAAUGGAUCCUCUGAUAUGAUGGAAGAAGAUGUUGUGUCAAACCUUGCAGUGCGUAUUAAGCUAAGAUUGACAGUUUGGGAAUUUAUUAUUCCAGUGACUCCAUCACUCCCCGCUGUCAUCGGCGUCUCUGAUACUGUAAUCGAGGAUCGUUUUGGUGUUGAACAUGGAAGUGAAAAGUGGUACGAGAAACUGGAUCUUCAUUUCAAGUGGCUUCUUCAGUAUCGGAUCAGUCCAUACUUCUGCAAAUGGGGUGAAAAUAUGCGUGUCUUGACAUACACCUCACCAUGGCCUGGUAUUGCAAUUGUUAUGCACCAUCUAAUUAUUUUGCUUCAGAUUCUAAUAAGUUCACCAUUUGCAUUCCACUUUUUUUGGUUUCGCAGCCGAUCAUCCCAAGUCUGAUGAAUAUUUCUCUGAUCCAAGGCUUGCGGCUUAUGCAGUACCUUAUAGACAAGUUAUAGCAGGGUAUGCAUGUGCUGUCCCAGUCAAACUUCUUAUAAGUGUUGUAGGUACCCAAACUAUAACUUUUGUUGAUGUGCAAGCAGGGAUGAUUCAAGGGAAAUUUACCUGCGGAAAGAAGUUGAGAUAUUGAGGAGUAAACCCCACUGGAAUAAAGCUUACUUUUACUUGUGGGAUGAGGUAUCUUAGUUCCCACUGAUUUAUCAAUAGGCCGAUGGUGGUGUCUCUUAGCAUUUGUGUAUCUCAUGUUCCACCACAGGUGUAAUUGAUGUGUUCUUUUAGUUGAGGUUUACUUAUUGACAGCUUUCUUAUUACCAUUCGAAAAUUUGGCAGCCACUGAAUAUGGAUCACUUUCAUAACGUUCGCAAGAUGGCUAGUGAAAUUUACGCCUAUGCCCCGGAUGCCCGGGUUUUGACUACUUACUACUGUGGUAUGAUUCCCUUUUUGUUUCUUGAUUUCUCGAUUUUACAUACGUUUUCCCACAUAAUGUGUUUGUUCAACCCAUAAUGUUAGGUCAUUGUGUAGAGCUAAAUAUUAUUUACGCACUCGUCAUGUUGGUCCACUGGUCUCAUUACAGCACUUACGGUUAUUUUACAAUGGUUCAGCUACUCAGAAAUUGUAUUUAUCUAUCUGUAGGUCCGGGUGAUGCGCCUCUUGCACCAACGCCCUUUGAAUCUUUUGUCAAAGUUCCAAAUCUGCUUCGACCCCAUACUCAGAUAUACUGCACAAGGUAAUUGCGCAUGCACCAUUCUCUUAGGUGGCAGUGGUUUGAUCAUUCAGACAAAUUGCCUUCUCUUACAUGGGUUUGUGGCUUAAUUAGUUGUCAAGAUCUUAACCUCACCAAUCUAUCAUUUAAUCAAAAAGUAACCUCUUUUUUUUUGAGCAAAUACAUUUUUGAUCUUAAAAUUGCCAACCGUAUCACUCCGAUUACCUAUUUGGAUAGACAUGCAUGUGAGUUUAUUAUAUUCAUCUAUGAGUUAGGAUUUCAGAUGCGUUUUCAGGAAUAUUUAGAGAAAUCUGUUUACUACUAGUUAGUCCAUCGUUGCCUUAAUCCCGCAACACAGUCUUAAAAUAUGGUUUAAUAUUCAGUGAAUGGGUGCUUGGUAACCGGGAAGAUUUGGUGAAAGAUAUUGUGGAGGGAUUGCAGUUAGAGAAUCGUGAGGUAAGCUCUCUCUGAUCCUUUGUCUACACUAGUCUAUGUUACUCAUUUGUCUAAUCAAUAUUGCGUAACUGAAUAGAAAUCUAAUAACCAUAAUCAUCAUCAUUUUAAGUAUAGAUUUCGGUCAGUUUUUAACCAUACGCAAAACAGUUAAUUAAUUAUUAUCAUAAGCUCCCAAAAGGUGUACACAUGCAUAUGCAUACAUUCAGGCAUUAUCAUAAUCAACUAAGCCAUCUUAAUGCUACUCUUCUUGUGUGGUUUAUAUAUGAAUGUAUUUGCAAUGGGAACCAUAAAGAGGAAUUCUCAUGAUGGGUGCAGGAAUGGUGGACAUACAUAUGCCUUGGACCUACAGAUCCUCACCCAAAUUGGCACUUAGGGAUGCGUGGGACGCAGCACCGUGCAGUGAUGUGGCGUGUGUGGAAAGAAGGUGGAACGGGGUUCUUGUACUGGGGUGCAAACUGCUAUGAGAAGGCAACCGUUCCAAGCGCUGAGGUUCGUCUGACCUAUGGUACCUUUUGUAAAUGUUUCUUGAUUGAUUGCUUCAGGAAGUUAUAUGAAACAACCAAACAUAUUUAUAGGUAAGGUUUAGGCGCGGCCUUCCUCCUGGUGAUGGUGUUCUUUACUACCCGGGUGAAGUUUUCUCAUCAUCCUCAGAGCCAGUUGCUUCACUUAGGCUUGAGCGUCUUCUUAGUGGCUUACAGGUAUGGCUGCUUUAAGCUUUUAGUUACCAACCAGAAAGAAAGAAAGAAGAAUUGUGUUCAAAUUGAUGUAAUGGAACAGGAUUAUGAGUACUUGAAGCUGUACGAGUCAAAAUACGGAAGAGAGGAAGCAAUGGGGCUAUUGGAGAAGACAGGGGUGUACAUGGGGCCUGAGCGAUACACUUUGGAACAUAGACCAAUCGAUGUAUUGCGGGGAGAAGUGUACAACGCAUGUAGACCUUCUUAGAGUAAUGUUAUGAGAACGUUUUUGUAUCUACUACCUAUACAGACGCUUCGUCGAUUACGCCUACUUUAUAAUAUAAUAUAUAGAACAAGAAUAAAGUCUUAGAAAAAUCCAGUUUGUUCACCGCGGUGUAGCGCGGGUGUUGGCCUAGUUACAUACUAAAAUCAGAGUAGUCCAGUUGUUAAGCGAUGAUGAUUAAUAUGGAAACAUGUGUUCGAUUUUACAUUGAUGCGGGUUUUAUUUCCGUUACAAAAAAAACAUUCUAAAACUACAUGUCAGUUGAUAUAGAACAAAAUUUACAAAAGAACUGGAUCAGAGACAAGAUGACUGAAUAAAGAGAAGAUCAACUUCAUUAUCUGAAUCUGAUCCAGAGAUGGAUAAUCCCCUUUAUGUUCUAAUCUUUGGACAAUAAAAGUAAUAUUUAAAUGGUAAGUUAACAAAAAAAUGUUUUUGUGGGUGGAUUACAUGUCAGUUGUUAUAGAACAAAAUUUACAAAAGAACGGGCUCAUAGACAAGUAACUGAAUAAAGAGAAUAUCAACUUCAUUAUCUUAAUCUGAUCUAGAGAUGGAUAAUCGAUCCCUUAAAAGUUUUUUAUUUCCAAACAACCAAAAUAAAAAUAACCUAAAAUAGUAUAAUAAAAAAGACAACUCUAGUGGACCAAAAAAUGCUCUCUUCUCUCAGAUUUUUUAAUUUUUCUGUUCUAAUCUUUGGACAAUAAAAGUAAUAUUAAAAAUGCUAAUUUAACAACAAAAUGUGUUUGUGGGUGGAUUAGAUGGAAAAUAUAAUUAUUUUGUGUAAUCUUUUUUUUUUGUGUAAUCAUUACUGCAAAAAUACUAGAAUAGUGCAAAAGGAAAGGAAGGAGUUGAGAAGAGGGAGGGAGUUAAAGGUACUUUUCGGGCAGAGAGUAAACAAAAGCGGGGACGUUACUUAUUACGUGUUGAAGCUUCAGUAAAUCUCCAACAACGCGAUCCUCUCUUCUCUUCUCCUCAACAAGAAGAAGAAGCGAUUCAAAUGGACAGCAACAAUGGUACGAUUCAAUUCGCUCUUCUUUACUUUACCCCCCAAUCUCGACUUCCUUCGUCUGCGAUUAGAUAAAUUGUUUGAGAAACGAAUUUGGGAAGUCAAUUUUACACAAGUUUCCUUCUAAUUAACUCUUAUCUAAGAAGAAGAUUAAAUAAGUGGAAAUUAGGUUGAAAUUAGCUUUUACAGAUCAAUAAAAUUGUGUAGGGACUCAAGAGAUGAGUGUGCCUGUAGAAGGGGUUGCUGGUGGAGGCACAGCUUACGGGUUUAACGACGGCGGUCUUAAUACACAACCUCUUAAACAAUCUACGGACCCCACAGAGGUUCCUACUUCUGACUUGGUUCACGUCUGGUGUAUCCCCAAUACUCUUAACGUCGGUUCCCAAGAAACGCCUCGACCUCUAGAAACUGUAUAACCCUUCUUCUU
rnacentral:lncRNA from 1 species